AGAGUUUGAUCCUGGCUCAGAUUGAACGCUGGCGGCAUGCCUUACACAUGCAAGUCGAACGGCAGCACGAGAGCUUGCUCUUGGUGGCGAGUGGCGAACGGGUGAGUAAUAUAUCGGAACGUACCCUAGAGUGGGGGAUAACGUAGCGAAAGUUACGCUAAUACCGCAUACGAUCUACGGAUGAAAGUGGGGGAUCGCAAGACCUCAUGCUCAUGGAGCGGCCGAUAUCUGAUUAGCUAGUUGGUGGGGUAAAAGCUCACCAAGGCGACGAUCAGUAGCUGGUCUGAGAGGACGACCAGCCACACUGGAACUGAGACACGGUCCAGACUCCUACGGGAGGCAGCAGUGGGGAAUUUUGGACAAUGGGCGCAAGCCUGAUCCAGCAAUGCCGCGUGAGUGAAGAAGGCCUUCGGGUUGUAAAGCUCUUUUGUCAGGGAAGAAACGGUGGACUCUAAUACAGAUCACUAAUGACGGUACCUGAAGAAUAAGCACCGGCUAACUACGUGCCAGCAGCCGCGGUAAUACGUAGGGUGCAAGCGUUAAUCGGAAUUACUGGGCGUAAAGCGUGCGCAGGCGGUUGUGCAAGACAGAUGUGAAAUCCCCGGGCUCAACCUGGGAAUUGCAUUUGUGACUGCACGGCUAGAGUGUGUCAGAGGGGGGUAGAAUUCCACGUGUAGCAGUGAAAUGCGUAGAGAUGUGGAGGAAUACCGAUGGCGAAGGCAGCCCCCUGGGAUAACACUGACGCUCAUGCACGAAAGCGUGGGGAGCAAACAGGAUUAGAUACCCUGGUAGUCCACGCCCUAAACGAUGUCUACUAGUUGUCGGGUCUUAAUUGACUUGGUAACGCAGCUAACGCGUGAAGUAGGCCGCCUGGGGAGUACGGUCGCAAGAUUAAAACUCAAAGGAAUUGACGGGGACCCGCACAAGCGGUGGAUGAUGUGGAUUAAUUCGAUGCAACGCGAAAAACCUUACCUACCCUUGACAUGUCUGGAAUCCUUGAGAGAUCAGGGAGUGCUCGAAAGAGAAUCAGAACACAGGUGCUGCAUGGCUGUCGUCAGCUCGUGUCGUGAGAUGUUGGGUUAAGUCCCGCAACGAGCGCAACCCUUGUCAUUAGUUGCUACGAAAGGGCACUCUAAUGAGACUGCCGGUGACAAACCGGAGGAAGGUGGGGAUGACGUCAAGUCCUCAUGGCCCUUAUGGGUAGGGCUUCACACGUCAUACAAUGGUACAUACAGAGGGCCGCCAACCCGCGAGGGGGAGCUAAUCCCAGAAAGUGUAUCGUAGUCCGGAUUGUAGUCUGCAACUCGACUACAUGAAGUUGGAAUCGCUAGUAAUCGCGGAUCAGCAUGUCGCGGUGAAUACGUUCCCGGGUCUUGUACACACCGCCCGUCACACCAUGGGAGCGGGUUUCACCAGAAGUGGGUAGCCUAACCGCAAGGAGGGCGCUCACCACGGUGGGAUUCGUGACUGGGGUGAAGUCGUAACAAGGUA
rnacentral:rRNA from 1 species